CAGGGUCAUAUGAUGAUUAUAUGCAUAGUUCAUAUGAUGUAUGUGUGAUUAUAUUUUGUUUUAGUCUUUCGCUCCUAUCUGAUGACCCAU
rnacentral:snoRNA from 1 species